rnacentral:misc_RNA from 1 species
GUAUUGAUAGCGCGUGAUUGCGCAAAGAACAUUCUACACUAGGGCGUUUGAUGUUAAAAACGUGAGCACCCCCCCCUCCGAGGAAGGGAGGACACACGCGGUGAUGCACAAGAGGGGUGAGAUGGAUUAUGUGUGAGAGCACCAAGGUGUGCACGACCUUUUCAAAAGUCAGCGACAACCCCAGCACCUCCAUUGUAUGAUAAUGAUCCUUCCGCAGGUUCACCUACGGAAA